GCAAGGCAGAAGGAAUGGGGCAGAAGGGCAAGGACCGCCAGAGCCACGUUUACCUUGCUCUGGAUGGCUUGAGUCCCUUCAAAACUGAGCCCGAAGACGCCAUUUUCUCAUUCCAUCUCCUCUCUGAAUUUACCUGCAUUGCAUAAUCGUGGC
rnacentral:lncRNA from 14 species